CACAAAAACAAUAAGUGGCGGGGCGAGGCAGAGGUGACCAGCGACGAGAGUGCUUCACAGAGCUCAUCGGUAUUCACUCGCCGCUCUCCUGCACUCGUGAACGAUUCUCCUCGCACUUCAAAGGCACAGCGAUAAAACACGCCUCCGGGAAUCAUUAGCGGCCAAGCAGAAGCAGCAGCGAGGUCAGCAGAAGCGCGAACAAAGGUGGAAGGGGAGACGUUGCGUAAGGAUUGCUCAUUUUUCCUGCAAAAUGGCUCCACCGACCCCGGGAAUACAAUCGCCUUCAAGGUUCUUGGUUCCUUGGCCGUCUGAGAACCUUCACGUCUUGACUCUCUAAAACAGGUGGCACGGCGCUGAGGGGACUUCGGAGCACACAGACACAAAGGGACUCGUCGUUACCCGCGUCAUAGCGUCGAGGAAAUGAUAUGAAAGGCGGCGAGGGAAGAACAGCCGCCGAGCAACAGUCCGCCUCGCCGUCAUUAGAGCCAGGCACGGAUGACAAGAAGAAUAAGUCUUUCUGAGGCACAACAAAGAGGGGAGGAGAGUAACAUACACACAAACACACACGUCAGUCUCCUUUCCCCCCUCUCUCGCGCGCCCACUGUUUCGCGGCCUAAUAGGGGAACAAAUGUACCCUACCAUGACCACAAAUAAGAAAUAGGGGAAUAAAAUGGGGUGUGACGUGAAAGGAGAUGAAGAAGAAGAAAAACAAGAAAAGAAAAAGAAAAAGAAGAAAAAAGACAAUGAAAAAAAAAAGAAGGAAGAAAGAAAAAAGAACAAUAACAAGAACAACGACUACAAAAACAACCAUACCAAGAGAGUUAUUACUACUACUACUACUACUACUACUACUACUACUACUACUUCACACAAGAAAAUGAAGAGGAAGCGAAAAAUAUACAAUCCUUUAAGGAGAAGAAAGAACAGAGAGGCUGAUUUAACCAUUUCCUCACCCUGUUAUCUGCCCUCUUCCUAAUGACCCCAAAACCUGUUACAUCAGAACCCAUUACGUCAGAGGCAAUUACGAAUGUGUAUUUAGUGUGUCCUGUGAGCUGCCUUGGUCCCUCACACAGCCCGCGGCCACAGACACUUCGGGGUUAGUGUUUGAGUCUGUGAGGCGACCUAACCAACUCAGGCAGCGUUGGUGUGUCUGGAUAAAGCCCGAACCACAACAUGCCCUUAAUGCAACGCCCGAGUGUGUGUCAAGGCCUGUGUCGCCGCUCUCACCAAUUCCACCACCACCACCACAACUGUACUAUCGCUACCGCCACCACCAUCACCGCAGCCGCCGUCACCUCUACCGCCCACAAGGAGACUAGUGAGUACACGGUUACUGUUCUCAUUCUUCCAACACUCAUACUCCAAGCUUUCCCUUACUACGAUAUGUUAAUUUUUCACCCACUAAACACCAAUGGAAUCUCUUCUCAACUGCUCUUCACCCUCAUCAAAUUCGACAUCCUUCCACUUUAUUCCUUGGGCUUUUUGCGCCAUACUAAGAGAAAAUGUUGGAGGUGGCCAUUCAUUCCUAUGAGAGUUUCAUAUAAACCUCUUAGGGAAUGGUGUCUGGCUUAUUGAUGGGGUAGGAAAUGAUCUCUAGGAAAUGUCUUGGUAAGGUAAAGCUCUUAACAGAAUUUAUAAACAUUAUCUUCCUAGUUAUUUGGCCGUGAAAUAAAAACCGUAACAGAUGGCAGACCAACAGAGAGGCAGGCAGGCAAACAGACAAACAGACAGACAGACAGACAGGAUGCAGGUCAGACGGUGCGGAGUUCCGGGUUGCAUGAAUGUAUGCAAAAUGUUGUUCUUAAAUGCAAUUACUCAUGCGGAAACAAGUUAUGAACGUUGAAAAAAUUGCAAACUCUUGAAAAAAUAUUCUUGGAAUGUUGCGAACAAAAACAAAGGCGACAAAAAU